AAAUAUUGCGCUCUUUAUCUUUCCUGUCAUUUUUCAAACAAGCUAUGUUUUCUUGCACACACUCACGUAACAAUUUGCCGAUCCAUAUCCACUCUGGAUCCUGUUGGUAAUAACUCUGCUACUGUUCAUUAUGACUUUGAAAAUCCGAUCUACCAAGUCGAGGAUGGAAGUGAGGAAGAUUGUGAAGUACCUGGAGAGCUUGCCAGACUACUGCAAGAAGAAAA
rnacentral:lncRNA from 1 species